rnacentral:tRNA from 2 species
GCCUCCAUAGCUCAGUGGCAGAGCACUGGUCUUGUAAACCAGGGGUCGAGAGUUCAAACCUCUCUGGGGGCA